AUUAAUAGAAUGGAUAAGGAAGCGAAGUAUACCUCGAAAACCUAUGUUAAGCACAAAUACAACUGUCCACCAGCCAAGCACAAGAGAAAAAAGCAAGUCA